rnacentral:rRNA from 1 species
UACGUAGGGGGCAAGCGUUGUCCGGAAUCAUUGGGCGUAAAGCGCGUGUAGGCGGUUCAGUAAGUCUGCUGUGAAAGUCCAGGGCUCAACCCUGGGAUGCCGGUGGAUACUGCUGGGCUAGAGUACGGAAGAGGCGAGUGGAAUUCCUGGUGUAGCGGUGGAAUGCGCAGAUAUCAGGAGGAACACCAAUAGCGAAGGCAGCUCGCUGGGACGUUACUGACACUGAGGCGCGAAAGCGUGGGGAGCGAACAGG